UACGGAGGGUGCAAGCGUUAUCCGGAUUUACUGGGUUUAAAGGGUGCGUAGGUGGGCCCGAUAGUCAGUGGUGAAAUACUCUCGCUCAACGGAGGGAACUGCCAUUGAUACUUCGGAUCUUGAAUGCAGUGGAGGCGGGCGGAAUGUGUCAUGUAGUGGUGAAAUACUUAGAUAUGACACAGAACACCCAUUGCGAAGGCAGCUCGCUACACUGAUAUUGACACUGAGGCACGGAAAAGCGUGGGGGAGCAAACAGG
rnacentral:rRNA from 1 species